rnacentral:rRNA from 1 species
GACGAACGCUGGCGGCGUGCUUAACACAUGCAAGUCGAACGGUGAAGCUCCAGCUUGCUGGAGUGGAUCAGUGGCGAACGGGUGAGUAACACGUGAGCAACCUGCCCCUGACUCUGGAAUAAGCGCUGGAAACGGCGUCUAAUACUGGAUACGAGAAGGGUCCGCAUGGGCACUUUCUGGAAAGUUGUUCGGUUGGGGAUGUGCUCGCGGCCUAUCAGCUUGUUGGUGAGGUAAUGGCUCACCAAGGCGACGACGGGUAGCCGGCCUGAGAGGGCGACCGGGCACACUGGGACUGAGACACGGCCCAGACUCCUACGGGAGGCAGCAGUGGGGAAUAUUGCACAAUGGGCGAAAGCCUGAUGCAGCGACGCCGCGUGAGGGAUGACGGCCUUCGGGUUGUAAACCUCUUUCAGCAGGGAAGAAGCGAAAGUGACGGUACCUGCAGAAGAAGCACCGGCUAACUACGUG